CUUUUAUGAUGUAAACUUGAAAUCUUAAAAUGAGAUAACAUUAAAAAUUGUCUUAGUUUUUUCCUUAGAGAAAAUGCGGUAGAAAUAAUAAUAUUAGGAUAUGAUGGAACACACUAUUCAAAUCUUUGUUAAAUCGCAUCGAUGAUGCGUCUCUCCCCAGGGUGUAUUUUCAACAGUGAUGGUGGAGGAUUCCAGAUUUAGCCACACAAUGUCAACUGGUUCCUUUCCUUACCAACAAGAAGGCAUACUCGGGCGAAAAUAAAGAAUGCUACAAGACAGACACCAUUAAGAAGAUGAGAAAUGAAGAAUUAGCUAAAGGUGGCAAAAUGGGAGAGAUAGGAAACGUACACGAGUCUGCCUGCCAGGAACCCAACCCAACCUACCCAGAAACCCCAAAUUGAUCAAGAAUCACAUAAUUUCAAAGCUUGGUCAGCGCAAUGAUUAUAAACUCUGUGAUUGAAUACAUGAAUACCUGAGUGAACGAAAUGGCUACAAAGAAGCCCCUGUUUUGCCAGUAAAGGUAGUCAAGGUAAGGAAAUGAGAUAUUCAGCUGAGAUCGGAACCCAUGUCUUUCUGACCCUAGAACACCUGCCUUAAAGCCACCAUGCUAUAUUUUCCCACUAGCUAAUAUAUCUUGGUUUUCUCCAAAGUCACUAAUGCAUAGGAAAAAAUGCUUUUAACUUCAUUUGUUGAUUUGAUAGUACUUAAAACAUACUUUUCUAAGGGGGCUAUUUAAGCAUUUGAGGAUGACCUUAAGCUAAC
rnacentral:lncRNA from 1 species